UACGAAGGGGGCUAGCGUUGUUCGGAAUUACUGGGCGUAAAGCGCACGUAGGCGGACUUGUAAGUCAGGGGUGAAAUCCCGGGGCUCAACCCCGGAACUGCCUUUGAUACUGCGGGUCUUGAGGUCGAGAGAGGUGAGUGGAAUUCCGAGUGUAGAGGUGAAAUUCGUAGAUAUUCGGCGGAACCCCAGUGGCGAAGGCGGCUCACUGGCUCGAUACUUACGCUGAGGUGCGAAAGCGCGGGUACGAAUUAGC
rnacentral:rRNA from 1 species